rnacentral:rRNA from 1 species
GGUGAACGCUGGCGGCGUGCUUGACACAUGCAAGUCGAACGGUAUGUGGCAACACAUAGAGUGGCGAACGGGUGAGUAACACGUGGGAACGUAUCUUUUGCAGGGGGAUAACUGACCGAAAGGACAGCUAAUACCGCAUAAGUCCGAGAGGAGAAAGGUGCAAAAGCAUCGGCAGAAGAGCGGCCCGCGGUCCAUCAGCUAGUUGGUGAGGUAAGGGCUUACCAAGGCGACGACGGAUAGCCGGCGUGAGAGCGUGGCCGGCCACAAGGACACUGAGAUACGGGUCCUACUCCUACGGGAGGCAGCAGUGCGGAAUUUUAGAUAAUGGAGGGAACUCUGAUCUAGCGACGCCGCGUGCAGGAAGAAGGUCUUCGGAUUGUAAACUGCUGUGGUAAGGGAAAAUGCUAUGUAGAGUGGAAAGCUACAUAGAGGGAUGGUACCUUACUAGAAAGCCCCGGCUAACUACGUG